GGUUAGACGAAGAAUCCAUAUAGAAUGAAUGUUUACAUUAGUUAACGUUCAAUUUUUGAAGUUUCUCUAGCUUUUUUGUUGGGUGAAAUCAGAAUAAGAAGCUCUUUCUUCUUUAAAAAUUAGUAGGAACUAAAAAACUUUGAUUUAAAACCAGGAUUAGAUACCCUGUUAUUCUCAGUUAUUCUUAAACAGGGUAGUAAAAGUUGUUCUUCAAACCCAAAGAUUUUGGCGGCACUUUAUCCAAAUAGAGGAGCUUGUCCCUUAAUCGAUAGUCCUCGUUUUAUCUUUCCUUCAUUUGUAAAGCUUGUAUACCGCCGUUGUCAGAUUACUUUUAGAGAAUGUUUUCAAGUUAAAAGACUUUAUAACUUCAGGUCAAGGUGCAGUUUAUAUGGGGGUGGAGGUGAGCUACAGUUUUCUUUAGAAAAUAUGGAUUUUAAGCUUUGAAGCUAGCUGAAGGUGGAUUUACUAGUAAAGUAAUUUAAGUAAAAUUACUUGAAUAAGGCAAUAAAGUGUGUACAUAUCGCCCGUC
rnacentral:rRNA from 1 species